UACAGAGGUCUCAAGCGUUGUUCGGAUUCAUUGGGCGUAAAGGGUGUGUAGGUGGCGCGCUAAGUCGGGUGUGAAAUUUCGGAGCUUAACUCCGAAACUGCAUUCGAUACUGGCGUGCUUGAGGACUGGAGAGGAGACUGGAAUUCAUGGUGUAGCAGUGAAAUGCGUAGAGAUGCGGAGGAACACCGAUGGCGAAGGCAGCCCCCUGGGUCGACACUGACGCUCAGGCACGAAAGCGUGGGGAGCAAACAGG
rnacentral:rRNA from 1 species